ACUCCUACGGGAGGCAGCAGUGGGGAAUAUUGCACAAUGGGGGAAACCCUGAUGCAGCGACGCCGCGUGCGGGAUGAAGGCCUUCGGGUUGUAAACCGCUUUCAGCAGGGGCGAAUCAAGACGGUACCUGCAGAAGAAGCGCCGGCUAACUACGUGCCAGCAGCCGCGGUAAUACGUAGGGCGCGAGCGUUGUCCGGAAUUAUUGGGCGUAAAGAGCUCGUAGGCGGCCUGUUGCGUCCGCUGUGAAAUCCCGGGGCUUAACCCCGGGCGUGCAGUGGAUACGGGCAGGCUGGAGGCAGGCAGGGGAGAACGGAAUUCCCGGUGUAGCGGUGAAAUGCGCAGAUAUCGGGAGGAACACCGGUGGCGAAGGCGGUUCUCUGGGCCUGUACUGACGCUGAGGAGUGAAAGCGUGGGGAGCGAACAGGAUUAGAUACCCUGGUAGUCCACGCCGUAAACGUUGGGCGCUAGGUGUGGGUCCCUUCCACGGGGUCUGUGCCGCAGCUAACGCAUUAAGCGCCCCGCCUGGGGAGUACGGCCGCAAGGCUAAAACUCAAAGAAAUUGACGGGGGCCCGCACAAGCGGCGGAGCAUGUUGCUUAAUUCGACGCAACGCGAAGAACCUUACCAAGGUUUGACAUGGGCCGAAAACUCGCAGAGAUGCGGGGUCCUUCGGGGCGGUUCACAGGUGGUGCAUGGCUGUCGUCAGCUCGUGUCGUGAGAUGUUGGGUUAAGUCCCGCAACGAGCGCAACCCUCGUCCAAUGUUGCCAGCGGGUCAUGCCGGGGACUCAUUGGAGACUGCCGGGGUCAACUCGGA
rnacentral:rRNA from 1 species